AUUGAACGCUGGCGGCAGGCCUAACACAUGCAAGUCGAACGAGUGGCGGACGGGUGAGUAAUGUCUGGGAAACUGCCCGAUGGAGGGGGAUAACUACUGGAAACGGUAGCUAAUACCGCAUACCAUCGGAUGUGCCCAGAUGGGAUUAGCUAGUAGGUGGGGUAACGGCUCACCUAGGCGACGAUCCCUAGCUGGUAUGAGAGGAUGACCAGCCCGAAUGUAAGUGAGACAGGGUCCAGGCUCCUACGGGAGGAAGCAGUGGGGAAUAUUGCACAAUGGGCGCAAGCCGGAUGCAGCCAUGCCGCGUGUAUGAAGAAGGCCUUCGGGUUGUAAAGUACUUUCAGCGAGGAGGCGUUACUCGCAGGAGAAGCACCGGCUAACUCCGUGCCAGCAGCCGCGGUAAUUC
rnacentral:rRNA from 1 species